rnacentral:rRNA from 1 species
AUUGAACGCUGGCGGCAGGCCUAACACAUGCAAGUCGAACGGUAACAGGGAUCAGCUUGCUGAUUCGCUGCCGAGUGGCGGACGGGUGAGUAAUGUCUGGGAAACUGCCUGAUGGAGGGGGAUAACUACUGGAAACGGUAGCUAAUACCGCAUAACGUCGCAAGACCAAAGAGGGGGACCUUCGGGCCUCUUGCCAUCGGAUGUGCCCAGAUGGGAUUAGCUAGUAGGUGGGGUAACGGCUCACCUAGGCGACGAUCCCUAGCUGGUCUGAGAGGAUGACCAGCCACACUGGAACUGAGACACGGUCCAGACUCCUACGGGAGGCAGCAGUGGGGAAUAUUGCACAAUGGGCGCAAGCCUGAUGCAGCCAUGCCGCGUGUAUGAAGAAGGCCUUCGGGUUGUAAAGUACUUUCAGCGGGGAGGAAGGGAGUAAAGUUAAUACCUUUGCUCAUUGACGUUACCCGCAGAAGAAGCACCGGCUAACUCCGUG